GUCCACGCUGUAAACGAUGAAUACUAGGUGUGGGGAUCGUAGGAUUUCCGUGCCGCAGUUAACGCAAUAAGUAUUCCACCUGGGGAGUACGGCCGCAAGGUUGAAACUCAAAGGAAUUGACGGGAGCCCGCACAAGCAGUGGAGUAUGUGGUUUAAUUCGACGCAACGCGAAGAACCUUACCGGAGCUUGACAUCCUCGGAAGACCGAUGUAAUGUUGGUUGUGCUCCUUCGGGAGAACCGAGAGACAGGUGGUGCAUGGUUGUCGU
rnacentral:rRNA from 1 species